rnacentral:rRNA from 1 species
UACGAAGGGGGCUAGCGUUGCUCGGAAUCACUGGGCGUAAAGCGCACGUAGGCGGCUUUCUAAGUCAGGGGUGAAAUCCUGGAGCUCAACUCCAGAACUGCCUUUGAUACUGGAAAGCUUGAGUUCGGGAGAGGUGAGUGGAACUGCGAGUGUAGAGGUGAAAUUCGUAGAUAUUCGCAAGAACACCAGUGGCGAAGGCGGCUCACUGGUCCAUUACUGACGCUGAGGUGCGAAAGCUAGGGGAGCAAACGGG